rnacentral:tRNA from 1 species
GGGCCCGUAGCUCAGUUGGCAGAGCAACUGACUUUUAAUCAGUGGGUCACAGGUUCGAAUCCUGUCGGGCUCACCA